AACAAAAAAAUCAACUAAAAAUAUCAACUGUGUGUUUAGAUACAUAAUUGAUACUCAUUCUGGUACAAACUCCCCUUUUAUCUUUUUCAGACCAAUAACAAACACUUCCUGGGCCAGCACUGACACAUGGACUACUUUAACAGCUUUGCUGAAGCUUAGAAAUGAGAUUCGUUGAGAGGCUUAGAUGAGAUCAUUCACGUACAGUGUCAAGUGUGACUGUAUCCA
rnacentral:lncRNA from 1 species